UACGAAGGGGGCUAGCGUUGCUCGGAAUUACUGGGCGUAAAGGGCGCGUAGGCGGAUAUUUAAGUCGGGGGUGAAAGCCCAGGGCUCAACCCUGGAAUUGCCUUCGAUACUGGAUAUCUUGAGUUCGGGAGAGGUGAGUGGAAUGCCGAGUGUAGAGGUGAAAUUCGUAGAUAUCAGGAGGAACACCAAUGGCGAAGGCAGCUCGCUGGAACGGUACUGACGCUGAGGCGCGAAAGCGUGGGGAGCGAACAGG
rnacentral:rRNA from 1 species